GCCGAGAUGGUGAAAUUGGCAGACGCGUCGGACUCAAAAUCCGAUAUCCGCAAGGAUGUGUGGGUUCAAGUCCCUCUCUCGGCACCA
rnacentral:tRNA from 1 species